rnacentral:misc_RNA from 1 species
GAACCGCGAAAUGUAAUGUGAAUUGCAGAGUUCGUGAAUCAUCAAAUCUUUGAACGCACAUUGCACUGCUUGGAAUUCCAGGCAGUAUGUCUGUUUGAGUAUCUGUUUUAUAUCAAGAGCGCCUUGGUCAUCAACAAGUUUGCAAAAAUUUGACUGUUGAUUGAGGAGUGCAUUGACUGUUGAAUGUCUUGUGGUAACGCGAGGAUUCAUAAAUAUAUAUUACUUGACUAGCGUCAUGUAUGUGAUUUCCACUUGUGGUAUCACAGUCAACACCUGUGAUUGAAGAACUGUUUCCUCGAUCCGCCAGUGUGUUGACUUUAAUGAGUAUGAAGCGUAACUGCAUAAUCUCAAUCCAUGAUCUCAAAUCAGACAAGACUACCCGCUGAACUUAA